UAAGACAGAGGGUGCAAACGUUGUUCGGAAUUACUGGGCGUAAAGCGCGUGUAGGCUGCCUCGCAAGUCGGAUGUGAAAGCCCUGGGCUCAACCUAGGAAGUGCAUUCGAAACUGCGGGGCUGGAGUCCUGGAGAGGAAGGCGGAAUUCUCGGUGUAGAGGUGAAAUUCGUAGAUAUCGAGAGGAACACCGGUGGCGAAGGCGGCCUUCUGGACAGUGACUGACGCUGAGACGCGAAAGCGUGGGGAGCAAACAGGAUUAGAUACCCUGGUAGUCCACGCCGUAAACGAUGGGUGCUAGGUGUCGCGGGCUUUGACCCCUGCGGUGCCGUAGCUAACGCAUUAAGCACCCCGCCUGGGGAGUACGGCCGCAAGGCUAAAACUCAAAUGAAUUGACGG
rnacentral:rRNA from 1 species